CGGCCUACCAAGGCGACGAUCCAUAGCCGGCCUGAGAGGGUGAACGGCCACAUUGGGACUGAGACACGGCCCAGACUCCUACGGGAGGCAGCAGUGGGGAAUAUUGCACAAUGGGGGAAACCCUGAUGCAGCGACGCCGCGUGAAGGAAGAAGUAUCUCGGUAUGUAAACUUCUAUCAGCAGGGAAGAUAAUGACGGUACCUGACUAAGAAGCCCCGGCUAACUACGUGCCAGCAGCCGCGGUAAUACGUAGGGGGCGAGCGUUAUCCGGAUUUACUGGGUGUAAAGGGAGCGUAGACGGCGCAGCAAGUCUGAUGUGAAAGGCAGGGGCUUAACCCCUGGACUGCAUUGGAAACUGCUGUGCUUGAGUGCCGGAGGGGUAAGCGGAAUUCCUAGUGUAGCGGUGAAAUGCGUAGAUAUUAGGAGGAACACCAGUGGCGAAGGCGGCUUACUGGACGGUAACUGACGUUGAGGCUCGAAAGCGUGGGGAGC
rnacentral:rRNA from 1 species